rnacentral:tRNA from 1 species
GCCUGGGUGGCUCAGUCGGUUGAGCAUCCGACUUUGGCUCAGGUCAUGAUCUCACGGUCUGUGAGUUCGAGCCCCGCCUCGGGCU